rnacentral:tRNA from 2 species
GUCGGAGUGGCGGAAUUGGUAGACGCGCUAGGUUGAGGGCCUAGUGUCCCUUAAAGGACGUGGGGGUUCGAGUCCCCCCUCCGACACCA